AAACAAAGCAAUGCUCGUUCUGGAAGCUCAGGAGUAAAUGAUACAGCUACAUAGAUUUCAAAGAAGCUAACACCAAGGUUAAGUUAUAAUUUUUUAGUAUUAACUAUGUCGAUCCAGUAUAUGUGAAAAAGAUUCUAUCUACGAAAAAACAAGAGGGGAGGGAGAAAAGAAUACCCUCGCUAAAAGCUGAAUAAGACACAACGGAGUUGAUUCAGGAAGUGGAUUGACUUCUCACACUAGGUGGCAGCAUUUUACCAGAAUCAUCCGAUGAGGGUGAUUUUUCACUAGAUUUGCAGACAGCUUCAUCAAACUCUUCCUCUGUGUUCAUCUUUCUCUUCUUUGCUGCAGAUUCAGAAUUAUUUUUCCCAGUUUCACUGUUUUCCUCUUUCUGCCCACUCUUUUUCUCUUUCCCUUUCUCUGGCUGAGGUCCGAAAUCCGACACAAAUAAUGGUGCUUCUCUUCCACUCAACCGACAGAAUACUUGUUCAACUGUUUCACUUAUUUCCUUCCCUAUCCCUUUAUUAUCCAAAAUAAGUUCCCAAACCGAUUUGGAGGCUUUUUCAAGCACUGAAGUCUCAAGUUCUUGUCGCAAUGCAUCAAAGAGCUCCCUCUUGGUCUGCCUUUCUGCACCAGGUGUGUUCAGAACCCUGCUUUGCUCAACCAUCUUUAUGGUGGUAUUCUUGAGUUCUUCAUUAGCUUUGAGCUGAGUUAUGAUUUUCAACCUCAUGGAAUCAAUUGUUCCAUCGUUCAUGAGUGUCCCCAUUACAUCUUCUGGCGUUAUGACAGACGAAGAUGAUUCCAUCGUCAAUCUCCUGUAACGAAGAGAAAUCGGACUGAUCGAUCGAGGAAAACGGUGAGUUGCCGGUGAAUCGAUGAAAUUAGGGUUCU
rnacentral:misc_RNA from 1 species